rnacentral:rRNA from 1 species
GACGAACCGUGCGAACGUUAUUCGGAAUCACUGGGCUUAAAGCGCGUGUAGGCGGGCCGCCACGUCGGCUGCUGAAAUCCCCCGGCUCAACCGGGGAACGGGCACCGAUACGGGCGGCCUCGAGGGGGGUAGGGGGGUCUGGAACUUCCGGUGGAGCGGUGAAAUGCGUUGAGAUCGGAAGGAACGCCCGUGGCGAAAGCGAGGCCCUGGACCCCUACUGACGCUGAGACGCGAAAGCCAGGGGAGCGAACGGG